rnacentral:rRNA from 1 species
CACGUAGGGUGCGAGCGUUGUCCGGAAUUAUUGGGCGUAAAGAGCUCGUAGGCGGUGUGUCGCGUCGGCCGUGAAAACCUGCAGCUUAACUGUGGGCUUGCGGUCGAUACGGGCAUCACUGGAGUUCGGCAGGGGAGAAUGGAAUUCCUGGUGUAAGCGGUGAAAUGCGCAGAAUAUCAGGAGGAACACCGGUGGCGAAGGCGGGUCUCUGGGCCGAAUACUGACGCUGGAGGAGCGAAAGCGUGGGGAGCGAACAGG